ACUCCUCUUUUAGCCAUACCAGCCCUGUAACUACUUUUUGACUGUAAUCUCUACAACUCUUCUUUUCUUUUCUUUUUUUUUGAAAAAAAAAUAGUAUGUCACACCGCUUGGUUUAUUAUUUUUUGUAGAAAUAAAUUUAGUUAGAAAUGUGAAUCAAUUAGCAUUCGAACUUGGGAUCUCGGAUACCAACUACCAAACUUUUUGCCACUUGCUAUAGCGAUGGUCGGUUAAUCCUACAACUUUAUUGAUUUGGUUCAUGUAAGCUUUUUUUUUGCUAAGAUAUCGUUUGGUUCGGAAAUAAAUAAAAAGUGGUUAUUCCAAGAAUAAAUAUAAAUUGAGAAAUAAGCGGGGAUUAGAUUAAUUUUGCGUUUGUAUGAAAUUUAAGUAAUUCCUGAAAAUAAAAAAAAUUAGCGUUAAAGGAUAGUGGAUUUUAUUUUAAAAAACUAAUGAUAGUACCCUCUUAUUAUAUUUGAAUUUGAAUUUUUUAUUUUUUAAAUCUAUAUUUUUAAAUUUAAAAUUUUAACUUUGAAAUUUCAAAAUUUGAAAUUAAAAUUUGAAAUUUAAAAUCUCAAAUUUAAAUUCAAAAUUUUAAAUUUUAAAUCUCAAAUUUAAAUUUAAGAUCAAAUUUAAAUUGAAAAAAUAUAAAAUAUAAAAUUUUAAAUUUUAAAAAUAUAAAAUAUCAAAUUUUAAAUUUUAUAAUUUAAAAUUAUAAACUUUAAUUUUGAGAUUAUAAAUUAAAAAUUUUAAAAAUUUAAAUUUUUAAUUUUUAAAUAAAAUUUUAAAAUAAAAAUAAUUGUGGGAACAAUUAAUAAAAAUACUUUAUUAUAAUAAAUUUAUAAAUUUUUUUAAAAUUUAACUUAAACUUAAAUUUAAUAAAAAUAAUUUAUUAUAAUAUUUAAAUAUAAUUUAUUAUUUUAUUAUAAAAUUUAUUAUUAUAUUUAAAUAUAAAUAAUAUGUAUUAAUAUAGUAUAAUUAAUAAUUUCAUAAUAAAAAUAAUAUAUUAUAAUUUAUAAUAUUUUAUAUUUAUAUAAUUUAGUUUUAAUUAAAUUUAUAAUUUUAAUUAAGAUUGAAAUUAAGUAUUGGAAUAACACUAUUCCAUCAAAAUGAUGGAACCUCAAAUUCCUUACUAUUCCGGAAUAAUCGGGAAUAGGAAGGUUUGAUCUGGAUAAAAUAUCCCGAUAAAAUGUCACUCCGUUUGGCGGAAUAGCGGGGAUAAUUUUCGUUAUCCUCGCUUAUCCUCCGAACCGAACGGGGCUAAAUGUUUGUUUUUUAAGAAAGUUUUAGUGGAGACAAUUUUUAUGGUGAGAG
rnacentral:lncRNA from 1 species